rnacentral:rRNA from 1 species
AUGACAAUGGUUCGGGUGAAUCCGGCCACGGCGGUUCUUGAUUCAUACAAGCACAUCAAGCGCUUGGCCGGUGGUCGGCCGGACCAGUUUGACCUCGCGGCGGUCCUGUCAGCGUGCGGGAGGCUAGGCGUCCUCGACUGUGGCACACAGGUGCACUGUGACGCGGUGAAGAGCGGCUUCUUCUCAGGCGCCUUCUGUGCGACGGCGCUGGUGAACAUGUACGCCAGGUGCGGCUGUGUGGGGGAUGCCCGCAGGGUGUUUGGCGGAAUCGCAUGCCCGGACACCGUGUGCUGGACGAGCAUGAUCUCUGGGUACCACCGAGCUGGAAGAUAUGGGGAAGCAUUGUCUUUGUUCUCGGGAAUGUUGAAGAUGGGAUCUUCUCUGGACCAAGUGACUUGUGUCACCGUCAUUUCCAUUCUCGCGAGCUUGGGUAGGCUGGAUGAUGCUAGGGCCUUGCUGAAGAGGAUGCCGGCGCCGAGCACGGUUGCUUGGAAUGCUGUCAUCUCCAGUUAUGCGCAACAGAGUGGGAUCGAGAAUGAGGUUUUUGGAUUGUAUAAGGGUAUGAAGAGGCAGGGAUUAUGGCCCAGUAGAUCGACUUUCGCCAGCAUGCUGAGUGCAGCAGCCAAUAUGAAGGCAUUUGUUGAAGGUCGACAGUUCCAUGCGUCCUCGAUAAGGCAUGGCUUGGAUGCAAAUGUUUUCGUGGGUAGUUCUCUGAUCAACCUUUAUGCGAAAUGUGGUUGCAUUAGUGAGGCGAGGUAUGUGUUUGAUUUCUCCCGUGAGAGGAACAUUGUCAUGUGGAAUGCGAUGCUCAAUGGGCUUGUUCGAAAUGAGCUACAAGAAGAGGCCAUCCAAAUGUUCUGGUAUAUGACGAGGCUUGGUCUUGAGGCAGAUGAGUUCACGUUCGUCAGUGUUCUUGGUGCAUGUGCCUACUUGGAUUCACAUUGCCUGGGAAGACAAGUGCAGUGUGUGACAAUCAAGAAUGGCAUGGCUGCAAGCUUGCUUGUUGCUAAUGCAACAUUAGAUAUGCACUCCAAAUUUGGAGCUACAGAUGAUGCCAAAACAUUAUUUAAUCUGAUUCCUUACAAGGAUAGUGUAUCCUGGAAUGCCCUUAUAGUUGGACUUGCACAUAGUGGAGGAGAGGAAGAAGCAAUUGGUAUGCUUGGAUUGAUGAAUGCGGAUGGUAUAACACCAGACGAGGUGUCUUUUGCUACUGUAGUUAAUGCAUGUUCCAAUAUUCGAGCUACUGAGACUGGAAAGCAAAUCCACUGCCUAGCAAUGAAGUAUAGUAUCUGCUCAAAUCAUGCUGUUGGUAGCUCUCUGAUUGAUUUAUAUUCUAAGCAUGGAGAUGUGGAAUCUUGUAGGAAGGUUUUGGCACAGGUAGAUGCAAGUAGUAUAGUCCCAAUAAAUGCUCUGAUUGCAGGUCUUGUGCAGAACAAUAGAGAUGAUGAAGCUAUACAGUUGUUUCAGCAGGUUCUUAGAGAUGGUUUAAAGCCCUCCAGCUUUACAUUUUCAAGCAUUCUUUCUGGUUGUACUGGACUUCUCAGUUCAAUUGUUGGCAAACAAGCUCAUUGUUACACAAUGAAGUCUGGUCUUCUGAAUGAUGAUUCUUCCCUUGGUGUUUUACUGAUCCGGAUAUAUUUGAAGUCCAAAAUGCCUGAGGAUGCCGACAAACUGUUGACAGAGAUGCCAGAUCACAAAAACCUGCUUGAGUGGACAGCUAUCAUUUCAGGGUAUGCUCAAAAUGGGUACAGUUCUCAAUCAUUGCUGUCAUUUUGGAGAAUGCGCAGUUAUGAUGUUCACUCAGAUGAGGCGACAUUCGCUAGUAUUCUCAAAGCUUGUUCAGAGAUUACAGCCCUUAACGAUGGGAAAGAGAUACAUGGGCUCAUCAUUAAAUCUGGAUUUAAUUCUUAUGAAACUUCGACUAGUGCCCUCAUAGACAUGUACUCCAAAUGUGGGGAUAUCACCUCAUCCUUUGAAGCCUUCAAACAAUUGGAAAACAAGCAAGGCAUCACGUUAUGGAACUCCAUGAUUGUUGGAUUUGCAAAGAAUGGUUAUGCUGACGAGGCACUUAUGCUUUUUCAGAAAAUGCAGGAGUCACAACUAAAGCCUGAUGAAGUUACAUUCCUUGGUGUCCUAAUCGCUUGUGCUCAUGCUGGCUUAAUAUCUGUCGGUCAGCAUUACUUUGAUUCUAUGAACAAAGUCUAUGGAUUAAAGCCUAGAGUAGAUCAUUAUGCGUGUUUUAUUGAUCUCCUUGGACGAGGUGGUCAUCUUGAAGAGGCUGAAGAAGUUAUUAACCAGUUGCCCUUCAGACCUGAUGGUGUGAUCUGGGCGACAUACCUUGCAGCAUGCAGAAUGCACAAUGAUGAAGAAAGGGGGAAAGUUGCAGCAAAAGAACUUACUGAGUUGGAACCAGAAAACUCGUCUACAUAUGUGUUGGUUUCAGGCUUACAUGCUGCAGCUGGUAACUGGGGUGAAGCUAAGAUAGCCAGAGAAGCAAUGCGAGAAAAUGGAGUAUCAAAAUUUCCGGGAUGUAGUUGGGUCACGGUAGGGAACAAGACAAGCUUAUUUCUUGUACAAGACAAGAAACACCCUGACUCCCUUAGCAUCUAUGAAAAGCUUGAUGAUCUUACUGGAAUGAUGAAGAAAGAUGAUGACAUUGAGGAGUAUGAUAUGCUUAUUUCAGCUGAAAUGUUUACUUGA